GCCGCCUCGCGCAGCCCUUUCCCCUUCCUCCGUCCCCGUCUCCGUCGCGGUUCGGUCUCCGCGUCGAUUUGGUGCGGGAGGCUUGAGCCACCGACGUGAUUCGCAAGCUGUAGUACUGAUGGGUGAUGUGGGAUCGAUUAUGCAAUUUUGGAUGAUGUCAGACAGAUAGGUUGCUUGGUGCUGCUGAUAUUGGGAAAUAGUCCUUAUGCUUUCUCGGUUGCUUGAGGAAGGUGCCGUGAUGUGAAGGCUUGCAGAGGUCGUGCACCUUACACUUAUCCUCAUUCCACAUGAAGGCUGCAUUGCCUUUUUCUUUAAGCUAAUGUGUUGUAGCGACUCAUCAGUGAUUGUGUGUAUCUUCAUAAAAGAAAAAGAUUGUGUGUAUCUUCAUAAAUGAAAAGGAUUACGUGUAUUGUACAUGUGUCAAAAUUAUGGCUAUUCUUCAGUAGUAAUGAUAGUUGAAGGGUGUAAAUCUCUGUUUUGUCGAUUUGCUGAUAUGCUACAUUCUUAUUAUAGUGGGCUUAACUGAAAUACCUCUGCUUUUGCUA